rnacentral:rRNA from 1 species
UUCGGAGCACGAUACCCUCGGGAAACUGAGGCUAAUAGUGCAUACCACACUCAUCCUGGAAUGGCGAGUGUGCCAAACGCUCCGGCGCCGAAGGACGUGGCUGCGGCUGAUUAGGUAGACGGUGGGGUAACGGCCCACCGUGCCGAUAAUCGGUACGGGUGGUGAGAGCCAGAACCCGGAGACGGAAUCUGAGACAAGAUUCCGGGCCCUACGGGGCGCAGCAGGCGCGAAACCUUUACACUGCACGACAGUGCGAUAAGGGGAUCCCAAGUGCGUAGGCAUAGAGCCUACGCUUUUGUACACCGUAGGGAGGUGUACGAAUAAGGGCUGGGCAAGACCGGUGCCAGCCGCCGCGGUAAUACCGGCAGCCCGAGUGAUGGCCGAUCUUAUUGGGCCUAAAGCGUCCGUAGCUGGCCGCACAAGUCCAUCGGAAAAUCCACCCGCUCAACGGGUGGGCGUCCGGUGGAAACUGUGUGGCUUGGGACCGGAAGGCGCGACGGGUACGUCCGGGGUAGGAGUGAAAUCCCGUAAUCCUGGACGGACCGCCGAUGGCGAAAGCACGUCGCGAGAACGGAUCCGACAGUGAGGGACGAAAGCUAGGGUCUCGAACCGGAUUAGAUACCCGGGUAGUCCUAGCCGUAAACGAUGCCUGUUAGGUGUGGCUCCCACUACGAGUGGGUGCUGUGCCGUAGGGAAGCCGCUAAACAGGCCGCCUGGGAAGUACGUCCGCAAGGAUGAAACUUAAAGGAAU